rnacentral:rRNA from 1 species
UACAGAGGUCCCGAGCGUUGUUCGGAUUCACUGGGCGUAAAGGGUGCGUAGGUGGCUUGAAAAGUUUGAUGUGAAAGCUCAGGGCUUAACCCUGAAAUGGCAUUGAAUACUGUCGAGCUGGAGGUUUGGAGGGGGGACUGGAAUUCUUGGUGUAGCAGUGAAAUGCGUAGAUAUCUGGAGGAACACCGGUGGCGAAGGCGGCAUCCUGGACCGGCAUUGACGCUGAGGCGCGAAAGCCAGGGGAGCAAACGGG